rnacentral:rRNA from 1 species
UACGGGGGAUGCAAGCGUUAUCCGGAAUCAUUGGGCGUAAAGCGCCUGUAGGUUGUUUACUAAGUCUGUUGUUAAAGACUAGGGCUUAACCCUAGAAAAGCAAUGGAAACUUGUAGACUAGAGUAUGGCAGGGGUAGAGGGAAUUUCUAGUGUAGCGGUGAAAUGCGUAGAUAUUAGAAAGAACACCAGUGGCGAAAGCGCUCUACUGGACCAUUACUGACACUCAGAGGCGAAAGCUAGGGUAGCAAAAGGGAUUAGAUACCCCUGUAGUCCUAGCCGUAAACGAUGGAUACUAGAUGUUGUGCUUUUGUACAGUAUCCUAGCUAACGCGUUAAGUAUCCCGCCUGGGGAGUACGCUCGCAAGGGUG